rnacentral:lncRNA from 1 species
CCUACACCUUCUUGAGAGAGAAGAAGAAGAAGGAGGAGAAGAAGAAGAUGAGCUUGCUUGAGGGAGCUUGGAGCUCAACCCCUUUCUCUCCUUUCCACCCUUGCUUGGCUUGGAGCUUGCUUGUAGAGCUUGGUGGUGGACCAAUCUUCAACCCUAGAAGAUUUGGAGCUUGUUUGGAGGCAUCUUGGGAGGUUAGUACUUGGAUUCUACCCUUUGAUCCUUGAUUUGGUAGGUUUUACCAUAUGGAACCCUAGAAUGGGUAUUAGGGUUGAUUUUUGGGGCUUUUUGAUCUAGGGCUUUUGAGGCUAGAUUGAUUGGAUUAGAACCUUCCUUGGGCUUGGAUUGGAAGGGAUUUAGCUCUCUUUUGGAGCUUGAGAGAGAUUUCCCACACAUUAGGUGAGUUUUAGCCCUUUUGCCAAGUUUGUUAAAGUUUGAUCUUAUAGUUGAUCGUAAUGCCCGUGUAUCUCUUCGCUCGAUACUUUUAGGGUAUUUUGAGACUCGUGGACAACCUCGUUCGGCGAAUCGAGGGAGCACGCGACGGUUCGGUGGGUUUGACCUAGCCUGGCAUAUGAGAAAUUCUCAUAUCUCAUAUUUUAUGCUUGUAGAGUAAAAAUUCAUGCAUUUCCAUGAUAAAUGUAUUUAUUGUGAAUUUUGGG